rnacentral:rRNA from 1 species
AUUGAACGCUGGCGGCAGGCCUAACACAUGCAAGUCGAACGGUAAAGGGAAGAGGCUGGCGGCUUGCUGAAGAGGGGCGGGAGGGGGGGGAAUGUCUGGGGAAACGGCCGGAGGAGGGGGGUAAAUACCUGAAAAGGUAGGCAAAUACGGAUUAAGGCGCCAGACCAAAGGGGGGGGACCUAAGGGCUCCUGGCAUUGGAUGUGGCCAGAUGGGGUUAGCUAGUAGGUGGGGUAACGGCUCACCUAGGCGACGAUCCCUAGCUGGUCUGAGAGGAUGACCAGCCACACUGGAACUGAGACACGGUCCAGACUCCUACGGGAGGCAGCAGUGGGGAAUAUUGCACAAUGGGCGCAAGCCUGAUGCAGCCAUGCCGCGUGUAUGAAGAAGGCCUUCGGGUUGUAAAGUACUUUCAGCGGGGAGGAAGGGAGUAAAGUUAAUACCUUUGCUCAUUGACGUUACCCGCAGAAGAAGCACCGGCUAACUCCGUG